GGGCAGGGAAGGCAGGAGAGCUCCCUAACAACUGAGUUCUCUGACUGUAGCCAGCUCUCAGUGGCUGGGAGACAUUUAUACCAGGAGAGCAGACACACAAAAACCAGCUCCUGGUUUACUGGGAGCACCAGCAAAGCAUAUAUUCCUUUUAAAUAUUCCUCAUUGACCUGCCUGAGGGGUUUUCCCUCAUUCCUGCACCUGCCUUUUGUUACACACAGCUGCAGCUGUGCUGCUUGGUUGGGAUGUUAUGGAUAAACACACUUGGGUUCUACCUCAACCUGGUGUGUCUUGUGUGGCAUUUUAAGAGAACCAGGUAGCAAGUGGCACAGAGAAUUUACCAAAUGGGGUAAAUCCCGCUGCACAGGGGUCCUGGUGCUUUUUGGGCUGGCCCCCAUGAGAAAGUGCUCUGCUCCUGUCCUUAUUUUCAUUAAUGAGGUUGUGGGUAAGAUUACAAGUGACAGAGGGCAGAAUUUUGGUUGAAGUCUUUCCUUUCUCUUGUGAGUUCAAAUGUUUAAUAUACACUGUUGUUUCUUCCUCUUGAAAGCUGAUGGAAAGUUUAGUAAACACGCAGCUUUUACUAAACCAAAACAUUUAAAGGCUGCAGGCCAGAACUGAUGCCUCCUGUGAGACAGAACAGGCAUUUUAAACUGCCUGUUUCUGAAGUGAUGGGUGAUUUUGUAAUAACAGAAAUCUUCCUUAGUGCCACACUGCCAGAAGAACUUCUGAAACACCUCUCAAUCAUCUCAAAUGAGUUCUGGAUCCAAAGGGGUGCAAUUUAAUCCCAGGAGAGCCUGACCUGCUGUGCCAAGUUAUGAAGAUCAAAUCAGGACCUCUCUGGCCUGCACACUCGGUGCCCUCAGCUUCACCAGCAGCACAGGCUGUUUCCUGAGUGCCAUGAACUGAUGGAAAACCCCAGCACCUGCUGCAGGAACAAACCCCCCCGGGAUGGAAUCAGCCAGGUGGGAAGAACGGCCGGAAUUACAUCCCAAAAAACCUCAUGGGAACUCUUUGCCACCCAGCACUCCACAGCCAAGGGAAGUGCAGGUCUUGGAAACCAGUCUCCUAAUUUUUACCUGGGAAAGGGAUAAGCAGCAAAGUGCACCCACAAAGAAGAGGCAGAACCCCAGAGGACUGGUGUGGAUGAGCCCUGCCCCAGCAGUGUGUAAGAAUGGGAGGUGAAUUUUACUCACAGUGUAAAACAGGUGUAUGGACACAGGGAUGUGAGUACAGACAG